rnacentral:rRNA from 1 species
GGUAGUNCACGCCGUAAACGAUGAGUGCUAGGUGUUAGGCCCUUUCCGGGGCUUAGUGCCGGAGCUAACGCAAUAAGCACUCCGCCUGGGGAGUACGACCGCAAGGUUGAAACUCAAAGGAAUUGACGGGGGCCCGCACAAGCGGUGGAGCAUGUGGUUUAAUUCGAAGCAACGCGAAGAACCUUACCAGGUCUUGACAUCCCGAUGCUAUUCUUAGAGAUAGGAAGUUACUUCGGUACAUCGGAGACAGGUGGUGCAUGGUUGUCGUCAGCUCGUGUCGUGAGAUGUUGGGUUAAGUCCCGCAACGAGCGCAACCCUUAUUGUUAGUUGCCAUCAUUAAGUUGGGCACUCUAGCGAGACUGCCGGUAAUAAACCGGAGGAAGGUGGGGAUGACGUCAAAUCAUCAUGCCCCUUAUGACCUGGGCUACACACGUGCUACAAUGGUCGGUACAACGAGUUGCGAGCCGGUGACGGCAAGCUAAUCUCUGAAAGCCGAUCUCAGUUCGGAUUGGAGGCUGCAACUCGCCUCCAUGAAGUCGGAAUCGCUAGUAAUCGCGGAUCAGCACGCCGCGGUGAAUACGUUCCCGGGCCUUGUACACACCGCCCGUCACACCACGAGAGUUUGUAACACCCGNA